CUACGGGGCGCUGCAGUAGGGAAUAUUGGGCAAUGGACGCAAGUCUGACCCAGCCAUGCCGCGUGCAGGAUGAAGGCGUUAUGCGUUGUAAACUGCUUUUAUACAGGAAGAAACGACUCUUGCGAGAGGCAUUGACGGUACUGUAUGAAUAAGCACCGGCUAACUCCGUGCCAGCAGCCGCGGUAAUACGGAGGGUGCAAGCGUUGUCCGGAUUUAUUGGGUUUAAAGGGUGCGCAGGUGGUUUAUUAAGUCAGUGGUGAAAGACGGUCGCUCAACGAUUGCAGUGCCAUUGAAACUUGUAGACUCGAGUAAAGUAGAGGUGGGCGGAAUUGAUAGUGUAGCGGUGAAAUGCAUAGAUAUUAUCAAGAACUCCAAUUGCGUAGGCAGCUCACUUGGCUUUUACUGACACUCAUGCACGAAAGUGUGGGUAUCAAACAGGAUUAGAUACCCGCGUAGUC
rnacentral:rRNA from 1 species